rnacentral:rRNA from 1 species
ACUCCUACGGGAGGCAGCAGUGGGGAAUAUUGCACAAUGGGCGGAAGCCUGAUGCAGCGACGCCGCGUGGGGGAUGACGGCCUUCGGGUUGUAAACCUCUUUCAGCAGGGAAGAAGCCUUUGGGUGUGACGGUACCUGCAGAAGAAGCACCGGCUAACUACGUGCCAGCAGCCGCGGUAAU